GACGAACGCUGGCGGCGUGCUUAACACAUGCAAGUCGAACGGAAAGGCCCUGCUUUUGUGGGGUGCUCGAGUGGCGAACGGGUGAGUAACACGUGAGUAACCUGCCCUUGACUUUGGGAUAACUUCAGGAAACUGGGGCUAAUACCGGAUAGGAGCUCCUGCUGCAUGGUGUGGGUUGGAAAGUUUCGGCGGUUGGGGAUGGACUCGCGGCUUAUCAGCUUGUUGGUGGGGUAGUGGCUUACCAAGGGUUUGACGGGUAGCCGGCCUGAGAGGGUGACCGGCCACAAUGGGACUGAGAGACGGCCCAGAAGCCAACGGGAGGCAGCAGUGGGGAAUAUUGCACAAUGGGCGGAAGCCUGAUGCAGCAACGCCGCGUGCGGGAUGACGGCCUUCGGGGUGUAAACCGCUUUCGCCGGUGACGAAGCGUGAGUGACGGUAAUGGGUAAAGAAGCACCGGCUAACUACGUG
rnacentral:rRNA from 1 species